UUCUAUAGAAGGUCAAAAGUUUGUUUUAAUAAUGACAUCUUUGUUCCAGUAAUUCCAGAUAGUGAAAAUUUCUCAAUGGGAUAAGAGGUUAUUCACUGUCCUGCUGAAGUAUCUUAAGUGGAAACAGGCCUUGGGUGUCAUUGUCACCCUGAAGAGAACCAGAGCAGGCUGUCUCUCCCUCAUCCUCGCGCACUCUCCUGAAAUAUCCUAACAGACACACCCAGAAAUAACGUUCUGCCAGCUAUUUGGGCAUGCCUUAGCCCAGUCAAGUGGAUAGAUACAUCUUCACCUCUUUAUUCAGCCCAGCCACC